ensembl:lncRNA
UCUCCUGCGGCGUGAGAGUACGAAUGGGAGAAGGCUGCAUUCCUCAGCUCGCCUCUUUCUCCAAACUGUUGCUGGGAGGGGUGAGUUAAUCCCUCUUUGAUAUCUUUUCCUAUAGCGCCUAUUUCUCAAAUAAAGGCUCUGUCAUCGCCUUUGUUUGCUCUACAUCUUGGUGAGAAAGGCAGGAGCAACAUCACUCCAGCAUGCUCUAGUCCAUGAGGAAAUAUCAUGACACCCUGUGGUGCACUGCUGAACUUUUGGGAACUGGCAAGCCUGAAUCAGAAGUGCUACUGGUCCAUGAAGAUAUGCCUCUAGAAAGAAUAUCAAGUACUGGCCCAACAGAACCGUGGAAAAGACUGCCUAUAAUUGCCUUUAUUGCCUUAACAUUCUGCACUGUGGUGGGUAUUGUACAUGCAUCGUGAAGUACAUUGUAUUUUGAGCCACCAAACUGCAGGAGCUCGCUUCCUACCUGCUCAGUCAUUGGUUCAUGCUGUGAAGGGGUUGGAGUGUAGUGGAUUUCCUAGGUCACAGUCUGAACCAAUGGGUGAGCACGUGAGUGCCUGGAGCGGGGGGGGGGGGCUAGAGUCACCCCUUCUGUCUCAGGGAUGCUUCUUGGAGCGCGUGUGCAGUCUGAGCCUGCGUGCGUUCCCUUUCCCCCGCCCUUCUGCAGCGCAAGAAUGCGAACAGGAGAAGGCUGCGUUCCUCAGCUCGCCCCUUUUUCCAAACUGUUUUUUGGAGGGGCAAGCUUCUUCUGAAUAUACCACAUUAGUUUUGCACCCAAACAAUAAAAAGAAAUGACCGGCAGCGCACCUAAGAAAAGUUAUCAUUAUGCCUUGAUGUCAAAGAAGUUGUCUGCUGUGGGACAUCCUUCGUUUCCCAAUUCUCAGAUGGGGAAAUAGCCUGGGAUGUGCCAUGUUUCCUCAAACUUUCAU